AAGCGUCGGUAAGGUGAUAUGAACCGUUAUAACCGGCGAUGUCCGAAUGGGGAAACCCAGUGCAAUUCGUUGCACUAUCGUUAACUGAAUACAUAGGUUAACGAGGCGAACCGGGGGAACUGAAACAUCUAAGUACCCCGAGGAAAAGAAAUCAACCGAGAUUCCCCCAGUAGCGGCGAGCGAACGGGGAGCAGCCCAGAGUCUGAAUCAGCUUGUGUGUUAGUGGAACGGUCUGGAAAGUCCGACGGUACAGGGUGAUAGUCCCGUACACCAAAA
rnacentral:rRNA from 1 species